rnacentral:rRNA from 1 species
UGCAGUCGAGGGGCAGCGCAGUGUAGCAAUACAUGGGCGGCGACCGGCAAACGGGUGCGGAACACGUACACAACCUUCCUAUAAGUGGGGGAUAGCCCAGAGAAAUUUGGAUUAAUACCCCGUAAGAUAACGAUGUGGCAUCAUAUUGUUAUUAAAGCUACGGCGCUUAUUGAUGGGUGUGCGGCUGAUUAGAUAGUUGGCGGGGUAAUGGCCCACCAAGUCUACGAUCAGUAGCUGAUGUGAGAGCAUGAUCAGCCACACGGGCACUGAGACACGGGCCCGACUCCUACGGGAGGCAGCAGUAAGGAAUAUUGGUCAAUGGACGCAAGUCUGAACCAGCCAUGCCGCGUGAAGGAUUAAGGUCCUCUGGAUUGUAAACUUCUUUUAUAUGGGACGAAAAAAGGGUAAUCUUAUCCGUCUGACGGUACCAUAUGAAUAAGCACCGGCUAACUCCGUGCCAGCAGCCGCGGUAAUACGGAGGGUGCAAGCGUUAUCCGGAUUCACUGGGUUUAAAGGGUGCGUAGGCGGGCAGGUAAGUCAGUGGUGAAAUCCUAGAGCUUAACUCUAGAACUGCCAUUGAUACUAUCUGUCUUGAAUAUUGUGGAGGUAAGCGGAAUAUGUCAUGUAGCGGUGAAAUGCUUAGAUAUGACAUAGAACACCUAUUGCGAAGGCAG